rnacentral:rRNA from 1 species
UACGAAGGGGGCUAGCGUUGCUCGGAAUUACUGGGCGUAAAGCGCACGUAGGUGGCUUUUUAAGUCGGGGGUGAAAUCCUGGAGCUUAACUCCAGAACUGCCCUCGAUACUGGGAAGCUUGAGUUCGGGAGAGGUGAGUGGAACUGCGAGUGUAGAGGUGAAAUUCGUAGAUAUUCGCAAGAACACCAGUGGCGAAGGCGGCUCACUGGCCCGAUACUGACGCUGAGGUGCGAAAGCGUGGGGAGCAAACAGG